rnacentral:rRNA from 1 species
GUGGGGAAUAUUGGACAAUGGGCGCAAGCCUGAUCCAGCCAUGCCGCGUGAGUGAUGAAGGCCCUAGGGUUGUAAAGCUCUUUUACCUGGGAAGAUAAUGACGGUACCAGGAGAAUAAGCCCCGGCUAACUUCGUGCCAGCAGCCGCGGUAAUACGAAGGGGGCUAGCGUUGUUCGGAAUCACUGGGCGUAAAGAGCACGUAGGCGGAUCUUUAAGUCAGGGGUGAAAUCCCGAGGCUCAACCUCGGAACUGCCUUUGAUACUGGGGAUCUCGAGUCCGGGAGAGGUGAGUGGAACUGCGAGUGUAGAGGUGAAAUUCGUAGAUAUUCGCAAGAACACCAGUGGCGAAGGCGGCUCACUGGCCCGGAACUGACGCUGAGGUGCGAAAGCGUGGGGAGCAAACAGG